GACGUAGGGCGCGAGCGUUGUCCGGAAUUAUUGGGCGUAAAGAGCUCGUAGGCGGUGUGUCACGUCGGCCGUGAAAACCUGCAGCUUAACUGUGGGCGUGCGGUCGAUACGGGCAUCACUGGAGUUCGGCAGGGGAGACUGGAAUUCCUGGUGUAGCGGUGAAAUGCGCAGAUAUCAGGAGGAACACCGGUGGCGAAGGCGGGUCUCUGGGCAAUAACUGACGCUGAGGAGCGAAAGCGUGGGGAGCGAACAGG
rnacentral:rRNA from 1 species